CACCUCCAGCAUCCCUAGUAUUGGAGGCACUGCCUGCCCAGUGACUAAACGUUAAACGGCCGCGGUAUUCUGACCGUGCAAAGGUAGCAUAAUCAUUUGUUCUCUAAAUAAGGACUUGUAUGAAUGGCCACACGAGGGUUUUACUGUCUCUUACUUCCAAUCAGUGAAAUUGACCUCCCCGUGAAGAGGCGGGGAUAAAUCAACAAGACGAGGAGACCCUAUGGAGCUUUAACUAACUAACCCAAGGAAAAUAAAUUUAACCACCAAGGGAUAACAACACUCCUUAUGAGUUAACAGUUUCGGUUGGGGUGACCUCGGAGAACAGAAAAUCCUCCGAGCGAUUUUAAAGACUAGACUAACAAGUCAAACCAAACCAUCGCUUAUUGAUCCAAAAACUUGAUCAACGGAACAAGUUACCCUAGGGAUAACAGCGCAAUCCUAUUCAAGAGUCCAUAUCGACAAUAGGGUUUACGACCUCGAUGUUGGAUCAGGACACCCCGAUGGUGCAACCGCUAUCAAAGGUUCGUUUGUUCAACGAUUAAAGUCCU
rnacentral:rRNA from 1 species